AUUGAACGCUGGCGGUAUGCUUAACACAUGCAAGUCGAACGGUAACAGGCCUUCGGGCGCUGACGAGUGGCGGACGGGUGAGUAACGCGUAGGAAUCUGCCUUAUAGUGGGGGACAACGUGGGGAAACCCACGCUAAUACCGCAUACGCCCUACGGGGGAAAGCGGGGGAUCGUAAGACCUCGCGCUAUGAGAUGAGCCUGCGUUAGAUUAGCUAGUUGGUAGGGUAAAGGCCUACCAAGGCGACGAUCUAUAGCUGGUCUGAGAGGACGAUCAGCCACACUGGGACUGAGACACGGCCCAGACUCCUACGGGAGGCAGCAGUGGGGAAUAUUGGACAAUGGGCGCAAGCCUGAUCCAGCAAUACCGCGUGUGUGAAGAAGGCCUUAGGGUUGUAAAGCACUUUCAAUGGGGAGGAAAACCUGCCGGUCAAUACCCGGUAGCUUGACAUUACCUAUAGAAGGAGCAUCGGCUAACUCCGUGCCAGCAGCCGCCGUAACAC
rnacentral:rRNA from 1 species